rnacentral:piRNA from 1 species
UGAGAGUCAAGACAUGUCCAUACACUGGCA